GGACGAGGUUGCUGAAAUACCUGUAUGAAAACAUUCUCAAUUCACCGGAAUCACAGAAUGCUGUCCACGUGUACACAGUAACAGUGAAUUUGCCAGUUCUUCCAGCUCCAGACUGCUUGGUUUCCCUGUGAGCCUUCAAAGCUGGCUGCCCAUGCCCUCCCACAGCAGUAGACAGUUUCAGCUGGGUGUUCCACUUGCGCUUUUCCUAAAGCACUGGAACGCCUACAGGGUGAAAAGGCUUACAGUCAAGAAGUGAUUUGUUAAUUAAUCGCUGCUGUCUUCUGGGACACAGGGAAUGGAGCCGUUGUUCUGUUAUCGCAGUGCCUGUGUCACACAAGACUCCCUAGGAGUAAUAACCUGCUUGUGAGGCUGUGAUGCAAGAGUUGAGGAAGUGCUUUGCCCUGAAGGUUGUCUUCUCAGAUGUUUCCAGGAACUGAGGAGUGCAGGAUUGCUAGAUAACACCACGUCUAGAGCAUCUGAGGCUGUUCCACAUGGAUAAUAGGAAAGUCAAAUGGCUUUAAUACGUACUCUUCCCUUCUGUGAAUGAGAAGAAAGGAGAAGAUUGAACAUCCUGCCCUAACUUCUCUCCUUGCGUGAUGCCAGCUACAUGAACAUAAUUGCACCAAUUACAGGGAGUUGUGCAACUUUACGAACUGUCUAUAAAAGUUCUGCUCUUAGAAGAUGGGUGGCCAGAAGGGAGCAGAGUAUCCUUCUGUUGCAACUCUUCUGAGACUUCAUCUCUACCUUUGCAGGGUGUUUGUCAUGAGACAAAUGUUCUGAGCUAAUACACCAGCUUUCCUGACCAGCUAUUUCUUUUGAUGGCUUUAUGGCUUUAGGUUUAUCCUUCAUAGAGCAAAGAUAGCAAUCAGCCCCAUGCUUUCUGGGGAGAAGCAGGAUGCGGUUCUGCUUUUUAACUUUACUGCAUUAUAGGUAAUAAAUGGCUUUAAAAAAUCACUGCACUGCAGAGUGCCUCUCUGUAUUCUCUGUAAGUGCCUUUUAUAGUGCACUUGGCCAAAACAGUGCUACUCUGUAUGAUAAAAUGACUGGAAUGUGGUUGGGGCAAUGGUCAAACACGUGGGGCUCAACCUGUCUCACUUACUCUGUAAUUCCUGAGCAACUUUGUGUUAAUAAAGUUAGUAGGUUUGAAUUUCAGUAUAUAGCAAUGCUUUGAACCUUAACUUCGGUGUGGUAGCAUUCAAACCUGGAUGGAUAGUUGUGUCUGUGUCUGACAAUGCGGG
ensembl:lncRNA